rnacentral:lncRNA from 1 species
UUCCUUUUCAUCUUCACGUGUCUUUUCCCUUCACAACCACAUCUAGACCUCACUCUCUAAGACCUAACUGCCCAACAUCCCUGAUGCAGUGCUGGCCCAGCAGACAGCAUCCCUUGGAAGGCCACAGGGAGGUGUGUGCUUUGCUCAGAUCCUGAACAGCCAAAGCGGUUUCUCACGUUGCAAGGCAGCACCCAGCAGCAGCCAGGUGCCACAAGGAACCAGCUCUCAGGCCUGGAUAUAUGCAUUUCAUCAGCCAUCUACUUUGGAGAGGAAUGGCAUAAAUUUCAACACAUCUGCUAUUUUUGCCUGCAAAAUAUUCAAAAUUGUUUCUGCAGAAGCUACGGGCAGCAGUGGGGGACAUUUAUUUAAAGAAACUUG